rnacentral:rRNA from 1 species
UGGGGAAUUUUGGACAAUGGGCGCAAGCCUGAUCCAGCAAUGCCGCGUGAGUGAAGAAGGCCUUCGGGUUGUAAAGCUCUUUUGUCAGGGAAGAAACGGGAGUGGCUAAUAUCCGCUCCUAAUGACGGUACCUGAAGAAUAAGCACCGGCUAACUACGUGCCAGCAGCCGCGGUAAUACGUAGGGUGCAAGCGUUAAUCGGAAUUACUGGGCGUAAAGCGUGCGCAGGCGGUUUUGUAAGUCUGACGUGAAAUCCCCGGGCUCAACCUGGGAAUUGCGUUGGAGACUGCAAGGCUGGAGUCUGGCAGAGGGGGGUAGAAUUCCACGUGUAGCAGUGAAAUGCGUAGAGAUGUGGAGGAACACCGAUGGCGAAGGCAGCCCCCUGGGUCAAGACUGACGCUCAUGCACGAAAGCGUGGGGAGCAAACAG